rnacentral:rRNA from 1 species
UACGGAGGGUGCGAGCGUUAAUCGGAAUUACUGGGCGUAAAGAGUGCGUAGGUGGUUGAAUAAGUUAUCUGUGAAAUCCCUGGGCUUAACCUGGGCAGGUCAGAUGAUACUGUUUAACUCGAGUAUGGGAGAGGGUAGUGGAAUUUCCGGUGUAGCGGUGAAAUGCGUAGAGAUCGGGAGGAACACCAGUGGCGAAGGCGGCUACCUGGCCUAAUACUGACACUGAGGCACGAAAGCGUGGGGAGCAAACAGG